CUCUUUGCAAAAGUGACAAGGUGUUUGCGGUUGCCUCAGAAGACAUGGAUACUUUAGCUUUUGGGGCACUGAGGUUCUUGAAGAGCUAAGACUCACUAUGGAUCAAUUCAUUGAUUUGUGUAUUCUCUCUGAUGUGAUUAUUGUGAUAUCAUUAAAGGUACGUAACUCGGCCAAUUCGUGAGACUUGAGAUUUUUUAUGCAAGGAGUGAGCUUUGUUAGGAUGUAGCUUGCCUUGCUAAUUUGUAAAUUAAAAGUCAUAUGGAGAACAACAAAUGGAAAACAUAUGAUUUAAUGUAUAUGGAGAACAGUA